AUGCGGUAUGACGGUACCCUUUCGAAUAAGAGGUUGCUAACUCUGUGCCAGCAGCAGCGGUAAUACAGAGACCUCGAGCGUUAUCCGGAUUUACUGGGCGUAAAGCGUCUGUAGGGGGUUUGUUAAGUUCCAAGUAAAAUCUUAAGGCUCAACUUUAAGUUCGCUUGGAAAACUAAUAAACUGGAGUCCAGCAGAGGUGCAUGGAACUUGCGGUGUAGGAGUGAAAUCCGUUGAUAUCGCAAGGAACACCAAAGGCGAAGGCAUUGCACUGGGCUGGUACUGACCCUGAGAGACGAAAGCGCGGGAGCAAAACGGAUUAGAUACCCGUGUAGUCCACGCCGUAAACGAUGGAUACUAGAUGUUCGGGGAUUCGACCCCCUGGGUGUCACAGCUAACGCGUUAAGUAUCCCGCCUGGGAAGUACGGCCGCAAGGCUAAAACUCAAAGGAAUAGACGGGGAUCCGCACAAGCGGUGGAGCGUCUGGUUUAAUUUGAUAGUAAGCAAUGGACCUCACCAAGGUUUGACAUCCUAUGACAACCCUGGAAACAGGGCUUCCUUCGGGCAUAGUGACAGGUGCUGCAUGGUCGUCGUCAGUUCGUGCCGUGAGGUGUUCCGUUAAGUCGGGAAACGAACGAAACCCUCGUCGCAUGUUACAAAUUUCAUGCGAGACUGCCCGGGUCAACCGGGAGGAAGGCGGGGAUGACGUCAGAUCAGCAUGGCCCUUAUACCUUGGGCUACACAGGCGCUACAAUGGCCGGUACAAAGGGUUGCAAAACCGCGAGGUGAAGCUAAUCCCAUAAAGCCGGUCCAAGUUCGGAUUGGAGGCUGCAACUCGCCUCCAUGAAGUUGGAAUCGCUAGUAAUCGUGGAUCAGCCAUACCACGGUGAAUACGUUCCCGGAUCUUGUACUCACCGCCCGUCACACCAAGAGAGUUGGUAGCUCCUGAAGC
rnacentral:rRNA from 1 species